rnacentral:ribozyme from 1 species
CGGGCUGGUCUCUCCGGCAGCUCUCAUCACAAAUCAUCAUCUGAUCGCAGCAAGGAACGGAAAGUACCUUCGAGGUCCAAAUCCGAUCACGGUCAUCAUAAAAGGAAACCAUCUUCCGAACGAGGA